AAUUCAUGAUUUGGACAGUUGGUUAUCUUUCCAUUAAAUCUCUCCCAAGCUUCAAGCAAUGGUUCUCCAUUAAUUUGCUAUAAGUUAACAAUCUCAUCCCAUUU
rfam:Capsicum annuum cultivar Zunla-1 chromosome 3, whole genome shotgun sequence